CUCCCCGCCGCCGCCGCCUCACUCUAUCUCCCUCUCUGCUCUCUGCCUCCCCGCCUCCGCCUCCCCCCUCCCGAAAUCCCCGUCCCAUCCAUCCACACCCUAGCUGCCAGUCUUCGCAUCUCUCUCAUAGGCGGCGGUGGUGUCCCCUCCCCUCCUCUCCUCCCCGCAAGAUCCGGUGUGCAGCACCAUGGACGCCGGUGCGAAGGAGCAGAGGGACCUGGCGUGGUGGGGCCGCCGUGGCCUCGGCUGUCCGGCCAUGGGUGCUUGUCCCCGUGGCCGUCGCCGCCGCUUCCGUGUUCCGGAUGGAGGCGUUCCUCCGACGGCGCCAUGGGGAAGACCUGCAUGCUCAUCUGUUGCCCCUGCAAGUUCCCCACGGUUAGGAACAAAGAAUCCUUGCCAUUAAUCAAGAUAUGUAACUACCUGAAGCUCAUCAGAAGGCACUUUGUUUUGAUGAUAGAAGGAAAACAGAGACGGAGAAGAAGAGAAAAUGAACUACUGUGAUUAGCUAAGAUGGUUAUAUAUAUGGACAGAGCUCACAGCUUCAGCUUACCUAAGUAGAUUGACCGUGACCACAAAUUCUAACUUUAAUCCUAAGAGCUACACAAUCUAAAAACGAGGUAUAGUUUUCUGGACUAUCUUUUGUUACAUACAUAUACACAGCCUGUGCUUUGCCUUUGUGUAUUUGAUCAGGUUUACUCAAUCAAUGUUCCUACCAUGUAUCGCCUCUACUAUUAUUGUCUCGACCUUGGUUCUAUCUCAAUGGACAAAAUAAAAUUGGUGUUAAUCAAAUACAUGCUAUAUCAACCACUGCUACACUAGAUACAUAAUGCAAGCAUAAUGGAUGUAUUUGAAAAUUUGUAGCUAAGCUGAUCAAUAUUUCUCAAGAGUUGAAAAGCUUCAGUUGCAUGAUCAACAUUUCCCAAGUUGACAAUGCUCCCUCGAUGAAGGGCGUGUGGUUUUCUAUGUGCUUUUGCAGGAUUACAUCCCCACUGUCUUUAGUGCCAAUGUCUCGGUGGAUGGGAGCACUGUCAACUCGGGCCUCUGGGACACAGCAGGAGGGUCACAGCAGAUUGAGGCCUCUUUGCUACAGGGGUGUGGAUGUGUUCAUCCUCUCCUCUCUGGUCAGCAGGAAAAGCUGUGAGAAUGUCUUGAAGAAGUUCAGUGUCCAAUCCAACAUGGGGUUAUCUACAGGCACAACAUUUCCAUCUGCAGUACACCAUGUAUUGUUUCUCGCUGCAGAUACUUGCCUGCAGGGUGUGCCAUCAUGAGCACAGCAAGCAGGUUGAGUUAGAUGAACCAUACAAAUGAUCGAGUGGAGAUUGGAUUGUCCCAAUUUUAGACAGAUACCUUUUAUGAGGCGACAUGCUAACUAGAUAUUUAAUUGAACUCGAGAUGUAGACUACUUUAGCCCACAUGUCAUUUUUUUUCUUCAUCAAAACAUGUCUCUACCUAAUUCUUCCUAAUUUUCUUUUCCAGUCUGGUGUCAGUUAGUAUGGGUUACUCACUUGAGAAUCGACCCUGCCUGCUCUGUGCUCGAUUUUGACCGUUGAUGGAAGAUCCGACAGUGGAUAAAUAGCAGUGACGUUGCCCAAUCUCAUGCACGAGCCGAUGGUGCUGAUUUCGUUCGUUAGAGAUUACUUCAACCAGGGCGUGGGUGCGGCGUCGAAGAAGAGGUUGCGCUAGGCGUGGGACUUGCAUAUGUACUUAACCAAUUACUCUAUCCAAUAUUCAAACUCAAGCUGCCAUUUUUGCUGUGAUUUACAUUCUGUCAACAAACUCUACCUAUUGAUGCUUCAUGCAUCACAGGUGCCUGAUUGGCUGCCAUGUUCAACUUCAUGAACUUCACCAAUUGCUGCUGCUUUUGAUGUGA